GUGAAAAAUAAAAGACAGCAGUUCCAGUGAAACAUCCUCUGCAUGGCAGAGUUAAGAGGAAACACAGUUCCAUACAGAAGCACAUCUCUUAAAAUGUUUUAACAGCAAAAAUGAUUGAGGUCCUUUUAGGGCACAUUGUCUGUUCCAUAAGAGGAUUGGAAAUCUGCCAUUGUAUUACUGGCUUUUGCUCCAAAAUAAACUAAAGCCAGCACAGCUGGAGGUGACAGAAGCAUGUCCAGGAUAAGUACCUACUCCCUGCUCUCCCUCCCAGCUGUUAAAUCAUUCUGUCCCUGCUGCUUUCACAGCAUGUAGCGCUGGACUGUUUCUAACCUUUCCUCUCUGCAAAGCUCCUCAGCUCUCCUCAUCCUCUGCUUACCGAAAUCCCCCAGAUGAUGCUCAGGCCAAGAAUCCCAAAUAGCCAGCAGUCACAAAGACCUCAUGUGCCCUUACACAAACCCUUAUUUUACCAACCCACAAUUCUCUUAUAUCUUGUGCCCUACAAACAACCACGUCACUUCCCAACAGCCUGGCUCCUCCUGGAACACUUGCAGUACUCCCCACUCUCAUCUCUGAAUGAAGUGAGGAUCCUGCAGGGAAAGAGUUGUUGAAGGGAACACUGAAAAGCACUUGCGAAGGGGUUCAAAUGAAGCUUGCACUGACAACCUUAAUUCCACCAUCCCCUAAGUUUUAAGCAGUUAACUUAGUAAACUUAUUAUUACUAUAAAAAGAUGCUUAUUUAAUAUAAUAAACUCACAUGGACACAGAUUUAUGAAAAAGAAGCGAAAAAAGAAAGGUUCUGCUAUGUUGGUAUCUUCAAACAACUUAGGAGAAUUGUGCAGACAGCUCCCCAAAGCUUAGAGAUCUGCAUGGGACUUCCUGUCUUCAAGCAGAGAUUUUCUUUAAUGUAGUUCCUACAAUAACAUCCGAAGCUCUGCUCCUUCAAGCUCUCCUUUUCUCUUUCUUUCAGUAUUCUGUUUUUGUUGGUUUCUUUCCAUACUUCUACAGUUCCCUGCUCUGAUCUACCCACUCAUCCAAGUUUUCCAGCUGGGCCAUUUCAAGUCUAAUGUGUUCAGAGUUCGGUCACGGUAUAAACAAACAUAAAUAGUCUGCACGAUCAUCAAAUUCAAGGAGCAAUCCUCUUUUCUUUUACUGUGCGAGGAGCAGCAUUAGCUCUGCUUGGAAAUAUACGAUAUAUUCUUGGCACUCUUCCCCCAACAAAAACAAUGCUUUGUUAAACCUGCGCCUGUCAACUUUAUUUGUGGUAUAUUUUUAUGAUUUCAAGGGGGAGGAGAUACAGCUCAAUUUCUGCCACCGAGUCAAAACUCAUGAACAAAUAAAUUCCUUUAGAAGUGAGCAGAACAAAGAAGGGGGCUAUCCUGAUGGCUGCUUUGCAACAGUGCCAGCUCUGGAGGAGCUGCUGGCUGGGACAGGAAGCCGCCUGUCUGUGUGCAGCUCAAGGCAGAAGCCUGUAACUGCUGCUGCAACUCUUCCAGGAGAGCUUUAUGGAGAAAGCAGGCAUCUCCAUAGGCAGUGCAAAAAAACGGAUGCCGUCAGGACACACAGAGAGGGAAAAAGAAGCUGUGAUCUGUCUCCCCUCUAGUCAGUCCUUCUCAGGUGAUGAGCAGAAGCAAGCCCACUGCUCCGCUGGGCCCUGGGCUCCUAUACAGCCCCAAACGCUGCACGUACAUGUGGGGGGCCCUAAUGGCACCAACUGCGUACGGGGCCGGGUCACACUCCCCGCACUCCUCACGUGCACCCUCGCUCAGUCACAGCCCGGCCCUCCGCCGCCAGGGGCCGCUGUGGUGCCGCAGCGCUGGCGGGCCGGCUGAGCUGGCGUCGACAUCUUGGGGCGGUGCUGGAGGGAGAGCGAGAGGUCCUGCGUGAACGUCAUGGGAGAGUGAGCGGCAGUGGGCCGUGCAGGUCAGCCGGCAGCAGGAGGACAACGGCACAAAAUGAAGUAUGUGUCAAUCUAGGGGAGAUGUUUUACUGGUCUGGAAGACAGAACCUUUCUACCUACGCAGCCACCUGGUGCUGUGCAUCCCACUGCUUCCACGGGCUGCUCAUCCAGGAUUCCCAGAGCUGACUCCUCCUGGUAAGGGUCUUCAAAUCUUACCUAGGCGCCUUAGUAGAAGUGACCUGAUCGACAGAAAGAGUGAGAACCCACAGAUCCUACUGGGAUCUGACUUUGCUUGGCAUCUUAAAAUCAAGCCACUUCUAUUUCAGUACCUAAGCAUGGAUUUGGGGACAUAGUUUUAAG